AUGCCAUGGCCAAACAGCCAAAAUAACAUUUCAUUUUUGAAAAAGUAUAUUUUAAUUUUCUUUUGCUUUACAGCAAAACAAUGUAAUGCACAUACAAUAUAAUUUAUGUAUUACUAAUAUCACAUAUUUAAUCAGUAAAACACAAAACUGAUUCUUAAUUGUAAAUCUGUUCUCUGUGUCCCAUUCAUAUUUGGUUGGUGGUUGAAAAGCUAAUUCGGGCAUUUUUGACUGAAUCAAGGCAUGUACAUCAAAAAUAGAUUUUAGCUGGACUCACUACCCAUGUUGUUAAAGUGACCACAAUAAAGUGAAAUAUUUGGAGUGUUUUAGGAAUAAAAUAUAGAUGUGUAUGAGGACCUGAUUCAGUUUAAUAUAGAGUAAAUUUUCUUCCUAGUUAUUUCCAAUGUGCCUUGGAGUGUGAAGAAUAUUGGUAAAUCAUGCUUAUCAAGCUUUUAACUAGACAUAGUGCUGAUUAUUAUUUUAGAGGGAAUAUCUUAUCCUUACAGUAAAUAAAUACAACAGCUGCAUCUUUUGGGUGUUUUUCUUCUUGCUUUCAUUCAACUGUUUGUUGCACAAGUGCCUAACGUAUUAUUGACUCCUAGAAGCAAUCUUGAAAUGUAAUAUGUGUAGUGUGUAUGCCCCCCUUUAUUUUAACACACUUAAAAUUUACUAUUGUUCCUGCCCUGAAAUCUCUUUUUUUGGUAAACUUGGCUUACAAAGUUUAAUCUUGCUGAAAUAUUGAUGUUUAUUUUAUCUUCACCAACAAUGGGGUCUAUGAGUUUGUAAGUCAUUAUACCUUUUAUUUUCCAAUGUAGGAGUCUAGAAGUGAUUUUUUUAAAAGUAAAAUUUAUUUUUAAUGUCAUGAGUAUUCUCUCUUCUUAUGUGACUCAGGUAGUAGCUUCUGUUUAUCAAUGAAAAUAAAGACUUGUGGAAAAAAAAAAACAUUAACCUGGUCCUUGCAUUCAUUAGAUAUAUUUACAAGUCAUCUGUGAUCAGUUUAGUUACCAUCUCUUUGAUAUCCUGUAGCCAUUAUUGCAUGCUUUUGGGGUUAUGAUAUCAUGCUGUGGAAGAAUGGAUCAGCUGUGAGUGUUAUGUGCUUUUUUAUAGUUGUUCACAAUAUCUCAUACUAAAUUAUGUGGUGAAUUAUUGUACAUUAGCUAGUUAAAAAGAUGCCUAAUUGAUUCGCUAUGCUAAAAUAUCAAAGACUAUAUGCUGCAGGAGUGAUGUUUCCAGUUAACAACCUAUCAUGUAUUCAUGGAGACGACAAUGCUUGCUCACAUAUUGGCAAUAUUAUCUAAUUUGGUGUGCCCUGUGUUGUAAUUCAAUCAUCUAUUAUUAAAAAUAGAUAUGACUAUAGGGAGCAAAACCACAUACAAACCCAUAAACCCACAUCUGUGUGUAUUUACUUAUCCUCACAUAUAUAUUCAGUGAAUUUUUUGUCUUACCUACUAUUAAUGCUUACACUAGUGAGUCAUACAUGGAAAAUACGUAUUAGCUUUAAGGUAAAACAAAACAGAUUUUGAUUUAGUUCAGGUGAACCAUCUCAUUUAAAAUUAGCCCAGGGGUCUUGUAAAGAAUGCAAAUAAUCUAAACAUAAUAAUGCACAUUGCCCAAUUGCUUCUGUGUAUGAUACAGGUUCAGUAUUGUAGUGCUUUGACAGCCCAUUACUGAAUGUAAUGAACAGCUAUUUUUAAACAGAAGAAAUUCAGGUUGACAGCGUGGCAAUGAAAUUCAGCAAGUGGGAUAAUUUUUGUCAUCUUUAGUAUAGAGAAUGGAUUCAGUUUGGUGUAUCAUGUAGUUUAUAGAGCAUACAUUUUUAUUAAAAAGAUAAUUUUGUUGUCCAUUUUGGGGGCAGAUGUUACUGUUAGAAUAAGGAAUCAGCCUUUAAUGCAUAUUUUAAUGAACUGCUGAGACAUCAUCUCUAGAAUGUAGGUUUAAAAUCAGAUUUCCUUUUUUUUUCUCUCCUGCCAUGGGUGAAAUAUUCAGUCUAGUCAAAUGACUAUAAGAGUGACUAUAAAAGGUGUUUUUCAAUGCUGCUUUUUAGUCUUUCAGAGUUUAAAAGAAGCAGCUUUUUAGAAAUAAGGGAGUCUUGGAAAUGUACAUAAAGCUUCAGGCAGUGUGGUGUUAAUGGAAGUUAGUAUUAGAUAGAAUAGCAUGGAGGGAAAGAAGGAAAUUAUCUGCCUGACUGUAUAUUUUAGAGAACUUCUUUUACCAGGGAUAAGGGGAUGGUAACAUCUGAUUUUGACAACUUUUGAAAAAGUUGGAGAAACUUGUUCUACAGUUCUUAAAUAAAACAGGUAUAUUUUCAACUCAUACCAUAAAAAAGAAGAGGGUAAAUCAGAGUGAAUUAUUUCAUGUUUUCCUGUUUACAGCAAAAUUUGUUAGUUGCUAUUUUUCCUAAGUGUAGCUAAUUAUUAGGGCUUUUCAGAUAGCAAUCUUAGGUUCAACACUGAGGAUUUGUGUUAAAUGUAGCCUGAAAAAAAAAAAAACAAAAAAACAAGAAACAAGCUAUACAUUAUUCAGUUAAAUUUGAGUGAGUUAAAUUAAAUUGAAUAGUUGACCUAAAAUGGGCCAAUCAUUUCUGGCCCAAUUCAAUAAAACAACUUAAGUCUGAGGCAGUGGUGGAAAUUUAAAAAAUUGUCAGAGUCAUCCCUUCUGAAUAUCUUGCCAGAAACCUCCAUGCAUGGAUCUUCAUGACCCUUCCAUGCUUCCAGGGACCCUCCUUUGGGUCCCCAAGAGGCUAGCACCUGAGUGCUAUCUUUACUUCAGACUAUGCCUGAAAUUAGGAAAGCAGCAAAUCAUAUUUAAUAGCCAGGAGACUUCUCUAUUCCUGAUCUAUUUCCCUAUUUUACUUAUCUCUUGAAAAGCGUAAUGGCCCCUGAACAUAAUGUAGCAAUGAAUCUGUCUCCAAGUCAAGCAUUUUUGGAGAGGCUUUCGUGUUAGGUCACUACUGUACUCUUUAGAAUUGUAUCAUAUCAGUGAAUGAAAAGAAUUUCUUGACAUGAAGGAACUGGUGCACCUCAAUAAACAUUUUAUUUAAACCUAGAGAGGAUAUUGUUCAUCUAACAGGAGCUAGCUUAUUUCUAGCAAUAGUGCCUUCCGUUUGUAUCCUGAACUUUGAGCUCUUGAUUUUGUUGUGAAGUGACCCUCUUGAAAUCUAGGUUUACCCAUCAAUAGAGGACCUUGUAUGAGGCAGAAGGGCAUUAUCACAUCAGUCCUGCUUCUCUGUGGCAUCAUGGGGUGCUAGCUCAAGUACCUGAAGGAUAUUUUCACUUUCUUGAUGCCAGAAUAAUUUGAAAAGGCACCCAGGUAGUCAGAUAUUGAAAUAAUAAAAUAAUUUAUUAUGUAUGGUGUUGUUAUUCAUGGGGAGGAAACGACUGGCAAUGUGAAAGCAGGACUGUUGUUGCCAAAACCAAGCCCAGACAUCUAUUUUUUAGAAGGAUGCUUAGCUCUGAAGAUGGGCAGGAUGAAGAAAGUUACUGGUAAUUCCAAUAAAUGCUUUCCAUGUUAAAAUCUGGCUUUAUUUUUCUGUCUUCUCAUCUUUUGAGCUGUACUUUCAGCUCUGGGCAGUGCAAAAAAGGGAGAAGAAAUUGUGUACCCUUUAUACACUAUGGAGGGCUUGAGAAAAAUAUGAUAUGGCAGUGGUUUGCAAGAUACUGAGAAGGUUUCCAACCCAAUUAUCAUUCAUUGCAGCUGGAAGAAUUUAAUGGGAUAUGGUCCAAUGAAACAAACCCGUUGAAAUGUUCUUAUAGUAGACUCUAGUGUCCUGAUAAUCAAUAUUGUGUGAUAGUUAAGAAACAUUCUAUCUGGACCCUGACUGCCUGGGCUUGACUGUUGUCACUUACUAGCUGUGUAAGUUUGACCAAGUUCAUAUAACUACUUUGUGCCACAGUUUCCUUAAAAUGACAAAAAUCACAUCUAACUUCCAGGUUGGUUAUAAGGAUCUUAGAAUAAUGUCUGGCAUUUAGAAAGAGCUUAGUACGUGUUCUUGUGCCAAGGUUAAUUUUCUACUUAAACUUACAUUUGUAUAAUUUAAAGAAAUAAUUUCAGAAUCUGUUAUAGCUGGAAUGGUCCUUAUUAAAGACUUGGGUCUUUAAUUGAAGGUUAAAGGCAUCAGGAAUUCUAACUUUGGAAACAGAAAGUCAAAGUAAGAACUCAGUUUAAUUUGGUUAAUAUUUAUCAACCAUAAAUAUUAAGUAGCAUGGGGUGGGAUUUAUAAAAUGUUAAAAUCAUAUCUUCUAACCUUCUAGUAAACUCCAUGAGAGUAAAGGACAUGCUAUAUGCUGCCUAUCUUUGUAACCUAAAUUGUAGCUUCUAUAAUUCAAACAUUUGUUCAGUGAAAGUCAGAUGAACAUGAAUCCUUAUAUAUUGCUAGUAUAUAUUAGAUGCUUGAUAAGUUCAACUUGAAUGAAAGGGUAUUUGUGUAUAUGUGAAAAUAAAUUUUCACUAUUGUUGGAGAACUUAAAUGUAAGAAUUUUAGGUCUGAUAGAAUUAGAAGCACUCUGACUCUAAUAAGGUUGGGAAACAUUCCAGUCUUCCACUAAGAGAAUUAACAGAAUCUAUGUAAUUGUAAAGAAUAGGUUAUCAGUUGAUAUUUAACUAUUUACUGUAGGUUUAGAUCUUUCUUGGACCAUCAAGCCCUCUUACCCUAUAAUUCUCAAAUUUAUUAAAAUUUGUACAUCCUUGUGAAAGAAGAAGCAAAAAAGACCUUAGAAUGAAAAGAUUUAGCUAUAGCCAGUUUUACCUUUUCUAUAUGUCAUCCGUCUCUCUUUUAGGGGAAAGCAACUAGGAGAGAAAAUGAAAGAAAUCAUCACCAGUAACUUCAACUUCUUCUUCUUCUUCCUCCUCCUCCUCCUCCUCCUCUUUUUUUGGUUUAGUGGUAAAUAUGCUUAGGGAGAAGGGGCUCAGAAGAAAAUAUUUUGGCUGAGGCAGCCUACCUGUCCUUACCUUCGUGAUCUUGACUACAAUUGGAGCUGAAGUCCUCAAGCAACAUGUUUUUCUUUUCCUUCUCUCAGAGAUCAGUAAUCAGUUAUCCUAUUUUUUCUAAUUUAAGACUUCUCUUUCUCCAGCCCACGUAUGUUUUAUGUAAAGCUAGUGUCUGGGAUACUAUCUAUAACUCAUUCAAGCAAGCUUCUAUGCUAUAUUGUUAGAAUGAAUUCUAUUUAAAAUACUUAGUGAAAUACAGAAUUCGUAAGAUGGUUAUUGCUUUAGGUUGCAGCUGCAGUGAUACUGAUUAACAUUCAUCAUAGACAGACGAAAGUGAUUUAUUUAUGUUUGGAGGUGUGUAGGUAUGUUUUGAGUAGGUAGUACACUCAUAUGAUUCAAAGUUCAAAGUGUCCAAAAGAGUAUAUAUACUGUGAGAAGUUUCCUUGCCAUCCUUGGCCUUUUUCAACCCAUUUCCCCUUCCUGGAGGCAACUGCGAUGACCAGUUUCUUUUAAUUAAAACAGCAUUUAGAAAGAAGUUUUAGGCUCCUGCUGGCAUGGAAGACACAACCUCCAUCAGCUGUACAUCCACAAGGAAUUGUAUUCUGCCAACAACUUGAAUGAGUUUGACAAAAGACUCUGAGCCCCAAGUGAGAGCUGCAAUCCAGUAGACACCUUGGUUGUAUGUAGCCUUUUAAGAUCCGAGUAGAGGGUCCAACCAUUCCUGAACUCCUCACCCAUGGAAACUAUGAGAUUAUAACAUUUGUUAUCAAAAAAAAAGAAAUUUUAGAUGAUCAUUUUGCAUGUAUCAGAAUUUUUUUAAACCUAACAACCAGCUUUUUCAUAAUGCUUUAGCAGCUUACAAAAGUUCACUUUCUGUUUUCUCACUAAUCUCUGAGGGACAUGAGAGAAGUCGAUGAAAGGAGAUUGCAGAUGAAGACGACUUUAGCAAUAUUUGAUAGAUUAAAUUAUUUUAAACGUUUGUUUUCCUUUUUACCCCAGUUUUACUAGUAUAGGGCUUCCAAAGGCCUAGUGAUGGACAUAAAGAGAAUGACUAGCUGGGAUGCCAAGACUCUCAGAUUAGAUUUUAACUUCCCAAGUAUAGUAAUAAGACAAAUAAUGAGGCAAAAAUAGCGCUGAAUUUUAAGUGACAGAUAAGCAAAUUGAAAAUUUACCACCAACUUUUUGAAUUUUAGUUACACUAACUCGCUGUGGAAUCUGGGCUAGUCACUUCACCUUUGUAGUCCUUAGAUUACUUCUAAAUUAAAAAAAAAAAUGGGUUUGGGAAUAGUAACCUUUUCAGAUUUCCUCAGAAUUAUAGUUGUAAGCAGUAUAUAAAUUUAUAAAAAAUAGUUUUGAAGACCAGUUUUAGAAUUUCAAUGGUUAUUGUAUAUUCAAAACAGCUAUGGAAGCACUUUAUUUUCAUUUUAAAGAUUUACAAUUAAAGUGAUUUUAUGUAUACCUCAAAUGCCUGAUUAUAUACAAACCCAUUACAGGGUUUAUGCACACAUUAAAUCUCUCCUUAUUAUGGGGUUUUGUGCACAUUAAAUGCCUGGUUGUUAUAGAUUGUUGUUUUUCUUGUUACCGUUAAAUGUAACAUUUCCCUAGGUGAUGAAAUGUAUUAUUAUUGGGAACAUUUAUUUUAGUGUGUGUUCUGUAUUUUAAAAGAGAAAGGUAUUUAAACAGCAAAGAUGUAGCUGUUAAGAAAUUUAUUUUUUUAUAAAUAGCUUUCAGCAGAAAUCAGAGCAGUGCUUUAAAAUUACAGUCAAAAAAAUCAUUUAAUCAUCACACUCCUUGUUGGCUAAUAGGAUACUAAGUGACUUUUUUCUCCCCUGCAAUAGGCUAUUCUUGAUAUGCUCACUAAGUGGACCUAAGAGUACCAGUAUAUUUUAUGUUAGCAAGCCUUGAUAGCAAAGCGCUGAAAGUUCAGGGGGCAUUUGUCUCCUUUCUCACAAAUUCAUUUAAGUACCAGUCUUGCUGGAGCUUUAACUGGGGCAGACAACCAUACAAAUGACUUGAGAUAAAAUGAAAAUAAUGGACUGAGCUGGGUUCUGGGGAUGGUAGUUAUGCUGAACACACAUCAAUAAGCUUCGAGUGUGAUUCUAUGCUAAUGCAAGCCUGAUGGAUCAGCUUUCUCUUUUAGCCUGGAGGACCAUUAAGCUCUGGAAGCUGGGUCAAACUGAUAGAGUCUGCAAAUAUAGCCCAUUGGUUAGCAGCAGUAGUUAACUAGCUGUGAUUCCUAAUGUGCGAAACUAACAUUGCUUAAAAACCCUCUAUGAUCAGGACGUAGAUCAGGAAGAAGAUAAUAGAUUCUGUUUUAAUUUGCAUAAUCAAAGCUUCUCAUUUUUCCACCUAUAGAUAACAUAAGAGGGGAAAACAAACAGCUGUGACUACUUCCAUUAUGUUGUUAAUCUUGAAUCACAGCAAAUAAUUUCCAUAAAAAUGUAAAUAACUUGUUUCAAAAGAAAAGAGCAUAAUUGAAAGAUUUUCUGUGUUAUUUCUUUGGAAUUAAACUAUAGGCACAGUUAUGCGGGUUUGGUAAUGAGGAUCUUGGGGCUUGGAAAUGUAAAAAAAGUUCUUAAAAAAUUUGUGAGCUUUUCUUAGUGAUUUGGUUCAAAGACUAAAACUUGCUGCCUGUGGUCAGUCAGAUUUCUUUUAAUGCAUGAGCUUUGAAAUAGUACGUGUAGAUUAAUACUAUGACCAAAAUGACAGAAACUUGAUCAUUUCUUUUUCUCCAAAAGAAGAGAAAAUGAGCUAAUUUGUUUCAUAAUUUGUUCAGUUUACAAUGAACAACAUCAGAAUGGAAAGAAUCCAGAAACACUAUUUACUUUUAUGCAGCACAACUGCUAAGAGGACUGUGGUAUUAUAAAAAAGAGGGGGCUUCUACUCACUCACACCACUCUUACUCCUUUUACUCAUUCCCUUUUUAUCUGAAUACAUUACAGCUAUGGAGAACAGUCCUAUAUUUAACUCUUAUUUUAUAUAACUUUUAUUUAUUUUAUAAAAACUUUUAUAAAAUUUUAUUUAUUUUAUAUAAAUAUAAAUAUUUUCAUAUAUAAUAAGGUAUAGUAUAGUACAGUAUAGCUAUAGUAUAAUAGUUUUUAAAAAAAUUUAUUUUUAUUAUUGGGGGAAGGUAGUUAGGUUUAUUUAUGUUUAGAGGGGGUACUGGGGAUUGAAUUUAGGACCUCGUAUAUGCUAAGCAUGUACUCUACUUCUUGAGCGAUAUCCUCCCCUCAAAAAGUUAUUUUCAUAUAAUAUUUAACGUUCUAUAAUAUCUACUUGAGGGUAUUUACUCAAAUUCUAUUGACAUUCUUGUGAUGUUGGAGCUCUUUUUGUUCAUUCAUUUAAGAAACAUUUGUUUCAGGCAUUGUCUUGGGCACUGGUGGUGUGGUUGUCCUCUUCGAGCUUACUUUUUUUCUUUUAAUAGAGGAAACACAGCAAACAAGUUAACAAAGACAUAAUUUCAGAGAAUGAUGGGUUCUUAAGAGGAAUCUGUUCCACCUGGGAGUCCACUCAAAUCAUGUUUCUGCCAAAUAGACUCAGAUAUUAAAUAUGAUGCUGUUUUUUCAACCCAGAGUUUCCAGACUGUCUCAAAUUUUUUUUGAAUGUAAAGGUCAUAGGUAUAAAUUAAGUACUUUUGUGUACCUUAUUGUAAUCCAGACUGAUAUGUCUAAGAAAAACCUAAUAAAAUUCUAUAUGUGUGAUUUUCCCCCAAAUGCUUAAUGUAUAUGCCAACUCUCUUCAAAGCACUUUACUCACUUACUAAGUUAUUUAAAAAACUUUAAGAGGAGAUAUUAUUCCCAGGUAAGGAAACUAAGGCAAAGAAUGUUAAAUAACUUGCCCAGUUAUUUAGCUAGUAAAUGGGUGAGGUGGGAUUAAAACCUGGAUAGUUUGGCUCCAGAGUCAAUGUUCUUAAUCACUAUUACUCUGUGUCAAUGUGAAGAAAUUUUUUUAGCUGAAAAUGUGUUGCUAUAUUAAAAUGUAAGUUCUAGGAGGUCAAGGAAUAUGUCUAUUUUGUUCAACCCUGUCCUUGCACUUAGCACUGAACCUGGGCUUUAGUGGUUGCCCAAUAAAUAUUUGGAUAACUAAUAAAGUAAAAAUAAAUCAUAUUCUCAUUACUCAAAAUGAUUCAUGAUUUCAUCAUUCAAAGUUAUUAAUUCUAUGUUAAUAUUUUGGUAAUUAUUCUUUCAGAUAACUCUGUAUGUCAAUUUAGGCACUUACGUAUUUCAAAUAAAUCUGUUUAUAUUUUACGCAUCAUUGGGUCACCUGCAUUUUUCCAGUAAACAAUCGAUUUUGGAUUUUUUCAUGGCAAUGAACAUUAUAUGAACAUCAUAAUUAUUUUUGGAUCUUUAAUUGGAUACCUAAUAAUAGACCUAAAUUUAUUUCUUCCUUUUAUUUUUGCUAUUGCAAAGAAAACUGCAGUGGACACACAAACACACAGACAUGUAUACACACAUAUAAAUUGUUGCUGGAUCAAAGAUUUUGUGUAUCAUUGUAUAAAAUCCUUGUAUUUAUUGCUUAAGGAAUGUCUGUGUGCAAGAGGAAUAUUAUAUGAGUAAAUAGAAAUAUAAUUUAGAUAUCAGAUAUUUUUAGAGAAUGCUUUAAGUCACUUAAUUUAUAUGUUUGUUUCCUAUCUUCUUUUAUUUUUCUCUGCUUGAAGUUUGUUGAAGAAACUGAGUUACUUGUCCUGUGGAUUUUCCUAUAGACUCUUGAGUUUUACCUAUUACAUGUCCAGGUUGUCAUUUAACAUAAACUUCUAUCUUCUGUAUUCCCUGUAAAUUAAUAGAUCUAGAAGCUUGCAAUGUUUCAAGUUUUUCCUUCCUUACUUCCUCCUUCCCUCCCUCCCUCUCCUCCCCUCUCCCUGCCUCCCCUCUUCUCCCCUACCCCCCUCCCCUUCUUUCCUUCUUUCAUUCCUUCUCCAGAGAGGGUGUUAUUCUCCUCUGCCAGGAAGGACUCAAUGUCUGGUUGAAUGUUAUAUUAUAAUGUUCACAUUCUUGAUUAAUGCCACCAGUCCUUAAGUUAAUAUCUUUCCAAUCAUUUGAGUUGUUAUUCUUGUUCCUGAAUUUGUAUAACAAGCUACUUCAAAACUUAUGGCAUAGAAUGACAUCAGCAAGAUGGCAGAAUAGGAAGUCCCAGACCUCAGUGUUCACAGAGACACUGGUUUAACACAAUAUACUGUCCAGAAAGCCUUUAUGAGAACUCCAGAAACCAGUUAAGAGGCUGCAGUGCCACAGGCAAACUCAAAGCCAGGAAUAGCUAUAUUGAAAUGAGUAAGAAAAGCUGUUUCAUUUCAACCAUGUCAGCCCUUUCCUCAAGCUGACAUAGAUCAUGGUCAGAAGGAAAAGCCCAACUUCUCUUCUAGCUUCUCUUUUUUGGAGGGAAAGAGAAGAGUGGAAUGUACAUCCAAAUUCUAGCUUUUGGGGGACUGCCUCAGUAAUUAGUUUAUAUCGCACUUGAAUCUAAGCACUGACUGAACUGGCAUAUCUUGGAUGCCCGGCAACCACAGAGUACAAAAGAGAGGUCAGUGACUUGUUACAAUGCCAGAGAACCUGUAGUAUCAUAGACAUACUCCAGAGGAAGCAAGAGACUACAGACUCCUAAAAAGGAAAAUGGCAAACUUCUCUAACUGGGAAAUUACAUACACAAACCCAGAGAAGACACAUCUCCACAAAAAGUUUGAGAGGCCCCCAGACUCUGUAGCUGAGCUGAUUGAUGAUUGAUGAUACUAUUUUCUGUAGAAAGCCAGUCCAUAAAGACUGAGAGAGGUGAUUGUUUUUGCAAAUGCAUAAAUCACAACAAAAAGCACAGGAAUAAACAGGGAAACAUGACCGAAGUGGCCCAAAUCAAAGGAAACAAUGAAAUAUCCAGAAAUUAACUGUAAAGAAAUGAGUUCUAUGAAUUACCUGACAGAGAAUUCAAAAUAUCUUAAAGAAGUCCAGUGUGCUACAAGAGAACACAGAUAACUAAAUGAAGUCAGGAAAACAAUGCAUGAACAAAAUGAGAAUGCCAACAAAGAAAUAAAAACUGUAAAAACUACCUAACAGAAUUCUAGAGCUGAAGAAUACAAUAACUGAACUAAAAAUUUCACUAGAGGGGAAUCAAGAGCAGAUCUGAUCAAACAGAAGAAAGAACAGUGAACUUGAAGACAGGUCAUUUGAAAUUGUUAAGUUAGAGGACCAAAAAUAAACAAUAAUAAAGAAGUGUGAAGAAAGCUUAAGAGACAUGGAACACCAUCAAAUACACCAAUAACUGCAUUAAGCGAGUCUCAGAAGAGAGAGAGGGAGGGAGAGAAAGAAGGAGUGAGGGAGGAAGACUGGGGCAGAGUGCUUAUCUAAUAAAUAAUGACUGAAAACUUUCCAAAUCUGAAGAAGAAAUUAGACACCUAAAUUCAGGAGGCUUAAAGACCUCAACUAAGAUGAACUCAAAGAGACCAACACUGAGACACAUAAUUAAACUGUCAAAAAUCAAAGACAGAGAAUCUUGAAAACAGCACCAAAAACAAACAAACAAACAAAAACAC